rnacentral:rRNA from 1 species
GCCUACGGGACGCAGCAGUGGGGGAUAUUGCACAAUGGGGGAAACCCUGAUGCAGCGACGCCGCGUGAGUGAAGAAGUAUUUCGGUACGUAAAGCUCUAUCAGCAGGGAAGAAUAAUGACGGUACCUGACUAAGAAGCCCCGGCUAACUACGUGCCAGCAGCCGCGGUAAUACGCAGGGGGCAAGCGUUAUCCGGAUUUACUGGGUGUAAAGGGAGCGUAGACGGCUGUGCAAGUCUGAAGUGAAAUGCCGGGG